rnacentral:lncRNA from 1 species
GUUGGAUCUUGGAACUCAGCCUGGAGGAGCUCCCUCUGACAGCUUCCUUGAGAUGGUCACGUGGUCAUAUCAUCCAUCUGGAAACAUCACUACAAACACUACUUCCCUCCAAUUCACAGUGGAAACCCUCUCUUUUAAGAGAUAUGCAUAGUCCAGUAACUCAAAUCAACAGAUAAUUAAAUGUGAGAAUACACAUUUCAUUCUGUACACCUAUUCCAUCAACUCUCUGCCAAGAAGUGGAAGGUAAUAUUUCCUUAUCAAUAUUUUAAAGACACAAUUUGUCAAAAGUUUAGACUGCAUUGAGGUCAUUCAAAUUUGUUACCCCUUUCAGAAUUAUCGUGUUUGUCACAAAAAUUGUUCUUAAAGUCCUACUGAAGUCACUCUGUAUAUGUCAAUAAAAGUAUUUCCAUAUUACA